rnacentral:rRNA from 1 species
GGGCCCGCACAAGCGGUGGAGCAUGUGGUUCAAUUCGAUGCAGAGCGAAGAACCUUACCUGGGCUUGACAUGCAGGAAGUAGGAACCCGAAAGGGCGACGACCCGUUAAAUCGGGAGCCUGCACAGGUGGUGCAUGGCUGUCGUCAGCUCGUGCCGUGAGGUGUUGGGUUAAGUCCCGCAACGAGCGCAACCCUCACCCUAUGUUGCCAACGGUUCGGCCGGGCACUCUUAGGGAACUGCCGGCGAAGAGCUGGAGGAAGGGGGGGAUGACGUCAAGUCCGUAUGCCCCUUAUGCCCAGGGCUACACACAUGCUACAAUGCGCGGUACAGAGGGUUGCCAACUCGCGAGAGGGAGCCAAUCCCACAAAGCCGCGCUCAGUUCGGAUUGCAGGCUGCAACUCGCCUGCAUGAAGUCGGAAUCGCUAGUAAGCGCAGAUCAGCAGGCUGCGCUGAAUACGUUCCCGGGCCUU